GUACGCGGAUCCUUCCGCAAGAGCCCGCACAUCCAUGUGCGCACUUUUAUGGAAGCGCAAGACUUU
rnacentral:misc_RNA from 1 species